rnacentral:lncRNA from 1 species
UUGUUCUCAUUGGUUGUACUCUCCGGCAAGGUGUUGGCUUUCUCAGCAUAUUCCUCAAAGUCCUCCUGCAUAAACCAACUAGGUGAUGACGUUAACAAGGAUGACACUAAAAGUACACAUCAACUUCCUCAAAGCUCUAUAAAAGCACACAAGAAGAGAACAACUAACAAGUCCGCAAAGUUAGUAAAAGAAGUACGAAAACCAACAUGUGUUAAAUAAAGUAAAACGUUUACUAUGCUGUCAGCCUGUCACCACAAAAAAGAAAAAAGAAGAAGAUAAAAUGCGCAUGAUAUUCUGAAGAAGAAUGGUAUUUUAGGCAACACACGGAGCAGAGAUGCCUGUGCAGAUGCUAGACGGCUCUGAUCGAUUGUCAAUCCAUCCUGCAAAAGUCGAAGGAAAGAGCAGAGGCGGAGACGAGAAGAUUGAAACGAUCAUUCAGUUUGAAUAGUCAGCGUCCUGCUUUGACCCGACAUCAGCGAAGUUCUUGGAACGUUUGUGUUGACUGGUCGAGAGAGUUGACCCCAGAAAUUUAUGCAUUCUUGAGGAGGAAACUAGGGAGUGCUUUCCCUAGUUUGCAAGGGCAAUUAGAACUUUGAAAUAAUUAUAAAAAGAACAAAGAAUUGAUCAGAUCGAUUGUGAGUGAUUGCUUUUGUUGGUGGCGUGACGUGAUAAUUCACUUGGACCUCCGAGAAGAAAAAAUAUUUUAAAAUAUAUUUAUUAGAAACUUCUCAUUACUAUUCGAAAUCUCGUAUUUUCUUUCUCCACUUGUUUUGCUGUUGAGAAUGAGUCUCGCGUAGCCAGUGUUUCGGCUCUAGCUAUUGGCCUAGAUUGAUCUGCACCGGAUGAGAUCAGUUCACAAAAGAUCCGUUCUUUGAAUUUUUGCCGCUCUAUACUCAUUGGGACCUUGGAGAUUACCUGGUUCAUCGUCUAGCAUAAUAAUAUCCAAGUGAUGAUAUAAUUGUUAAUGAUCUCGGAGCAAUUAUAAAUUCAUUAGGCAGGGUUUCUCCGUGAUUCCUAGAAAAUUUAUUUGCGAUUUCUAGAACGUUUUGCCACAUUUUCAUCCAUUCAAAGACGUCAGAUUUUUGUAAGCAUCUGUAGACAUAAUUAGGCGCGUGAUUGAUUAAGCAGUCAUUAAUAUUUUUAAAUGUUAAUUUAUGGUGGGAUUAGGAACAGGAAGACGUGUGAGGAAGCUGCUUCGAAUAGGUCAACCUGCUUCACCUUCGACCCACUUGAAUUUGAACACUCAAAAAGUUAUCCCUUGGACUUUGCCAUAAGAUAAUGCAAACAUAGAAUUGAUUAUAUAGCUUGACCAUAAGAUGAUGUGAACAUCCAAAGUUUGGAACCUUCUUAGGACUUGCCAUUACUAGGAGCCGAGGGAAUGAAAACGACGUCGUCACGUGUGCGAAAAAUGAAUAUUGCUUGUAUGCAAAAUUGAGUAAAUAAUGAUCCUUGUUUGUACUCCACUAAUCAGAGUCUCAAUCAAAAGAGAUCUCCUAUAAUGAGAUGGAGGAAAACACGCUAAAGAAAGAAGUAUUCUUAGGCAUGAGCCGUGAGAGAGAACUAUUACUUGUUUUUUGGUCUAAAGAGAGACCAAUUACUUGACAUGCUUUUUUUCAUUGUAAAUAUUUCUUAAAUUUUCAUUCCAUGAAACAAGAUAUAUCUAUAAUAUAUUAUCGGGACAUCAUAUAGAAAGACAGUGAAAUUAGCCUCUAUACUUUGAAAUCAUGGGUAUACCUGUGAGUAUAAUAUUUCAUCAAACCAACUUCAGACAAGGUUUCCAGCUGCAGUUUACUGAGGCUAUUGAGAAAUUAUUUAAUGAAUAUGGUGCAAGCAUGUAUCCAAUUGAAUCUGGAUCAUCAUCUCUGGUGGGACUAAAUGUGGGCACCAGGUUGGCUCUAGAUAGGUUGGGCCCAAAGGUUAGGCCGAAUCUGAUGCUUGAGCCUGUCUAUAAUAAAAAAUUUCAACUGAAAUUCUCGGGCUGGGCCAAGCUUGUGGAGUUGGAGGUGUCGGGCUUACUAGUGAAUCAACUUGGCCCAACUCCAAACCCGCCCAUUCACCUCUCAGCCCCUCGCCCGCUCGUCAAUCACCUCUUGGUGGGACUCACAAGGUUUAGUAGAUAUACCAAUAAAAAAAUUGUCGAUACUAUGAUACAGGACAUCUCGAUUGGAAACCUCAACAGAAAUUGUACCAAGGCAACUUCCCAAAUUCAAAAUGUCAAGUUAUAUUGGAAGCUUCAAAUUCGAGCCAUAUUGAACUACGAAAAAUCCACCCAAUGUCAAUGAAUAAAGAGAAGAAGAGCCAAAAUCAGAUUUUGUCAGAUGGGGGGUUCGAGUCGUCAAAGGUGAGGAAGAACUUGUUCUGCAACAGAAACUGGGAAAUAUUCAAAGGACAUUUUAAAGAGUUGAAUUGAAGAUUAGUAAAAAAGAGCCAGGCAUCAUCACAAAAGUCAGCUACAUAACAUCAUUGUGUUCGAAUAUAAUGGCCAAAGACGGUCUCCAGGGCAGAGCAAAGAGCCCCUGUGAAUAAGCCUUAGGGACAACGUGCUCUACCGAUCGCCGCUUCCUCGUGGGCCAGUCAAAGAUCCAGACAAGAAGCUUUCACCUCUCGUCCCCAGCAGCAGCAACUGGGAAUUCUUUUCUCCGUAUUAUGCCGCAGGAUCGCACGUAGGAAAAUCAAGAAAUGAAAGAAGUGAAUCCAUCACUUAAUAUUUUAAUUAGGUAGAUACCAUGUCAGAAAGUGCAACCCAAAAAUUUCGAGAAAAUCAACCGGUUUCGCUUUUGAACGUUUGAAUGAGUGGCUUUUCUAGGUCAUAGAGAUGAUUAUGACUUUGCCAUAAGAUAAUUUGAACAUCAAAAGCUUCAAACCUUCCUAUGGCUUGGUCAUUACUUGGAGGGUGUAGAAACCACACCGCGUACGUGGAAAAUGGACUUUCACUAUAUUGAGUGUAGUCCUUGACACAAUUUGGGGUCUCUCAAGAAAAAAAAUCAUAUUUUUUUCCGGGCCUUUCUGACCUAUUAUAGACAUGAAUAUCGGCCACAUGCAAACUUGACUAAAAGUGAAUGCAGAUGAUGGUCCAUGUUUGUAUUUCACUGAUCAGAGUCUCGAUCAAAAGAAUUUCCUAUACCAAGAUGGAGGAAAACAUGCAGAAGUAAAAAGCAUUCUUAGACAUGGCUGCAAUAGAGAAGUAUUACCCAACGGGCUUUUACUUUUUUUUUUUUUUUGGUUAUAAAGGUUUUUCUUUUCUUCCAUGAAACAAUAUAUUUAUAAUAUAUUAUUCGGACAUCAUAUUUAAAGAUGGUGAAAUUAACUUCUAUAUUUUGAAUUCACGGGCAUACAUGUGAAAGGAUACUCAUCUAACUAACGUCUGACAAGAUUUUUGACGUAAUUGGCUGAGGCUAUUGAGAAAUUAUUUAGUGAAUACGCAUGCAUGUAUUAAAAUGAAUUUGGAUCAUCAUAUUUGGUGGGAUUAAAGGUGAGCACCAAGCAAGCUCCGGCUAGGUUGGGCCUAAUUUGUUGCCUAACCCCGUCUAUAAUAUAAAAUUUACAUAAACAUUCUCGAGCUGGGCUGAGCUUGUAAAGUUGGAGGUGUCGAGCUUACUUAUGUAGAAACCUUGCCCAAGUACAAGCUCGCCAUUUAUCUCGUGAACUUGGGGGCUGAGCGGGUUGCCUGCCCGUUGAUAUCCUCUUGAUGGGACCCAUAUGGGCCCAACGUUUCCUAUGGUUCAUGUUCAGUCCAAAUUUAGUAUAUAUAUCAGGGAUGAACAAUUCUAGGGCGGAGGUGAAGGGUUUAAAACCCAGAGGAGGCUCUAUAUGUUAUUAAGUGUGACUCAUGGAUGGUGGGUCCUCCUGCUUAAGUGUCACCUGGGGGUUUACGGCGCGGCUGUCGGCUGCAAGCCGGUUCCUCCAGCACAAAAAAAGAAAAAAAAAAGAAAAAGAAAAAAAAAGACAAUUCUAGGGUGGAUAGGUUCUAGAUAUACAACUUGAAACUUACCUUGUCGGGAUUGGUUCUUGAUUUUUGGAAUCUGAAACUUAAUUUAUAUAUCUUGGAACCGACCCUAUUGGUUUAAUUUGGUUGUAAGGUCUAUUGAAGAACCAACCAAUUCCUUUUGUUCAUUUUGGAUUUCAUUUUUUUUUAUUCAUUGAAAGGAUAAGCUUUAGUAAAACAUCUCAUAAUUUACAAUUGAGACAAAUAACAGCUAUAUCAAAAUAGUAGAAUCACAAAAAUGGCAAAGAGUUCGGUACAAAACAAACAAAAAUUUAAAAUAGUUGGGAAGUCUAAUUCAUCCUUAGUCAAGCAAAAUGAAAGAAAAUCAACAAUAGAAAUUCCCUUCUGCCAAAAGCACGAAAAGAGUAUGGCAUCUUCAGGCUACGUCAUUGUGGAGUGUUAAGAGCCACUGAUGACUUGAAAGGAUUGAAUUCUUUGAAGGAGGUGGGAUAAAAUAAUACAUGUCCCCAAAAAGUUUGUCCAAUGUGUCGGCAUUCACUAAGUUGGAGACAAAUUGGACAUUGUCAAAAGCUGUAGCACACACCAUUUAGCCAAGGAAGCGAUUAUGACUUUCGAUAUUGUAGGACAAAUAAACAUCAUCUGAAAGCGCAAGAACUUCUAUUGGACUAGUAUGAUAGGUGCAAGGGAUGAUCGGGAAGGUUGGAAUUUACCUUCUUGAGACCGGUUCCCAAUUUUGGGAAUAUGGAAUUUACCUUGUAGACCCGAGAAUUGGUGCUCCCCCUAGUAUAUAUACUACGCUCAUCUAUUAAUUUGUCGACGAUAUGAUUGGAAAUCUUAACAGAAGUUGCACAAGAGUAUGUGUUCACCAAAGACCAAUUUUGCAAGGUACCCUUAGAUCUCCCAAUCGAUAUAUAUGAGUUCUCCUGUAAUUCCCAAAUUCAAAAUGUCAAGUUCCAUUCAAAGUUUCAAAUGCUAGACAAAUUGAACUACGAAAAGUCCACCCGUCCUCAAUGAAUAAUGAACAAAGGCAAGAAGUUACAUAUUGUCGGAUGGGGAUUCAAGCUGUCAAAGAUGAGUAAGAACCUUUCCUGCAAUGCAAAUUGGGAAUAUUCAAUGGAUAGUUUAGAGAGUUGAAUUCAAGAUUAGUAGAACAGAGACAGGAAUCGCAAAAGUAAGCUAUAUCAACAUCAUCGUUUUAAAAAAUAAUGGCCAAGAGACGGCCUUUAGGGCAGUGCAAAGAGGCUAUAUGAAUGAGCCUUAGGGACGAUGAACUGCGCCGUUCGCCGCUUCCACGUGGGCUAAGUCAAAAGAUCCAUUCAAGAAAGUAUUCCCCUCUUGUAUACUUCAAUACAACUGAACAUUCUUUUUCUUUUCUCUUGGCCACUUGAUACAACAACAUUUUAUACUUCCUACUUCUUAAAACACGAAGUGUGAUUGACUGUCAUGAGGUAUGUUGAGACGAACAUAUGGAUUAUAUUAGAGAAGUCUCACAUCUGAAAAUUAGUGUGGCGUGGAGCGAUUAAUAAUCCUAGCUGGCCAAUUACUCAUUGACUUAAACUCUUGUGUGAAGAUAGACCUAAAUGAAUAUGUGCAUUUUUGGAUUUGUACUCAUUCCUGAUGAUCUCUCAGUGAAUGUAGGCGCAUCAGUGCACGUGUGAGUAAAGCCCCUAUGCUAAUCUCUAUGGUGCUUGCACAAUAUCGUAAUCAAAGUAAUCAUUUAAGAUUCAAUAUGCAUUGAAGAGUUAAAUUCCUUUUAGGCCCACAAUGUAAAAACACAGGUGAUUUAUGCAGUCAAGGAUGAAAAAAAAAAUCAUGAUACGAAGUUUUGGCUGUCGACUGUGGGCGCUCAGAAGUGUUUCUGCACGUGAUAGUCGCGCUCGACUGGCUCUUGAUUGGAUUUUUUUUUUUCCAUCGUUUCGUUUUAAGAACGCAAAACUAGCAAGACUCUAUAUGUUGCUGAAAAGGUGAUUUCAAGAAAUGGAAGGUGUGAUGUCCGUACUGAUGCUAGCAGCAGCAGCAACAGGGUAUUCAUUUCUUAUUUUCUCCUAAUCAAGUUGCAGAAUUUUGCGUAGAAAAAUUAAGAAAAAUUAAAGAAGGGACUCCAUCACUCAUUAAUUUGACUGGGUUUUGCCAAGUUCUUUCUUGCCUAUAGCAUCACUCUUGUACACGAAGUACAUUGUCAACUUCUGCUUAUGCUCUAUACAACAGCUCUCACAACACGACUAUGCGGCGCACACACAAGCAAGUCCGCAACUAGCCCUAACAAAUAAUAAUAGUUUGAUGCAAAUGAGUUCAUAAUAAUUGGGAAAAGUGUAAAAAAUGUCAUAAACCUAUAUAUUGGUAUCAAUUUAAUCCAAAACCUAUUCCGCCAUUUGAUCUCCUUGCUACUCUCAUGAGACAAUCCUCUUCUUGGACAUUACUGAUGUGGACGCCGGUCGGCUUAUAUUGUAUUGUCGGCGCUAAUGUGGACAAUUUUAAAUGAUAUUUUGAUAUUUUUAUUAUUUUUUUCUCUUGUAUCUUCUUCCUUUUGCCAAUGGUUAGCCACUGGUCAUGUUUGGGUGGGCUAGCCUCGCCUAGCCAUGGUGAGAUUGAGCCCCAACGAGGGCUCCUCUCAUCAAAUUUGGUGAGGUCAAGGGUUGGCCUAGCCAGAUUCCUAGCCUAGGCUAAAUCUGGUGAGGCCGACCCUUGUUGGGUCUUGGCCUUGCCAUGGUCAUGGCCGGUGGUUGGUCACAAGCAAAAGGAAGAAGGAAUGAGCGAAAAAAAUAUGUUUAAAUAUUAUUAAAAAUUAUUCAUGUUAUAGUCGGUGAUGCCAUGUAAGCUGGCAGGCAUUCACAUUAGUAAUAUCUACCAAAAUUAAUCGGAAUAAUUAAUUGGCAUCAGGUCAAAAGUUUUAAAACCAAAUUGGCACUAUUAAAAUGUUUAGAAUUAAAUUAAUACAAAUAUAAUAGAUUUAUGAUUUUUUGACACUUUUCUCUAUAAUAAUUUGUCGCCAUCAGCAAAAUGAAAGAAACGAAAAAACCUAAUUAUGAGAAUCUUUAACUUCGCUAAGAAGACACGCUUGUUGACAAGAGCUCUCUUUAGGUUCAAUUCAAGCUCUAUUCUAUCUUUCAUGCGGCAAAUAAAUGUCACGUAUCCAUACGAAACAGAUCACACGCAUAUCGUAGAAUUAGUACUAAUCUGUUAGAUUAAUUUGCAAACUAAUGGUUCAUGGAUGUGAUCAUGUAAAACAUCCUCAACCACUAAUUAAGCAUGACCAAAAGCCAAAAGCCUUUUUUCAGUUCAAGUUUCUCGUUGGCAAUAUAGCCUUGCAUUGCACGUCGCAGAGAAUGCUGAUCAGAGCCUGUAUAAGCUCCUUACUGUAUCUCUGCGUUGCACAAAUGAAUUUUCAGUAAUUUUUUAAUCUCUUGUUGAAUAAUUGGCCGCUCUGUUAUUACCUCGGGGUGUAUAAAAGUCAAAUUGAUCACGCCAAGCUAGACUUUUCAAGAUGACGAGAGGCGAAUGAAACUAUGUAAGUGGGCCAAUGGCACACCUCGAAACCAAAAUAUUUUCUUGUUUGUAGCUUUCAAUUACGUCAGGCUUACAUUGACGAGAAUAUUCCAUUUUUUAAUAUGAAUUGUACUAUAGAAAAACAUUAUUGUGAAAAAGAUUUUCCAUGCGUUUUUUAUUGAUGGCAUUGACAUGGGCAGAGCUUUUGCAAAGUAGGUCUAAUCCUGGAGUUUUUACUGGCUCACAAAGAUUCACAUGCACUAUUUUAGUCCAUAACCCACGAUGUGGAUAGUCCAUAGGCCAUGAACAAGUGAAAAUUAACUUUUCUACUGUUCAAAUGAGUAGAAGAAAAUCAAAAGAAAAUCAAAGGGAUAAAGAAGAGAAGCGAUGAAAAUUGAUUCGAAUCACUAGUAGUAAUCAAGAAUUUUUAUCACCUCUAUCCCUGAUGAUGAAGAAUGAAAGUACUAUUGAUAAGGUGGAUCACUAUGUUUGCACACAUUUAUGGACAAUCCAUUUCGUCCCGUGAAAUCAUUCCUUUUCUUUCCCAGAGAUUACGAACACAAGGCGAGUUCCUUUCAAUUCAUGUUCAUGCGGUUCGAUCUGGCCUUAUCCAAGAAAUUCAGUUUCCUUUCUCCAGCAGCGAUGUUUGAAUCUACCCAAGUUUCCGUGAAUCAAGUGAGAUGAGUUCGAGAGAAGAUGGUGGUGGUGGGUUGGUAAGACAGAGUGACGAUGAUUGGUGGAGAUUCCCUUUCACUGAGAGACACCCUGUUGUGUUGACUUUUAGGAUACUAUCGGGGGCCUUCGGUCGUGAGCGAGAGCCACAAGGAACGAAAAACGCACGCACGACUCCUCCGUAAAUCCGUAAGCUCUUCCAUCUCUCUGCUUGGGAGAUGUCAGCCUUGAGGAUCCCUUAUAAAUACUGAGUGAUUCAUCGAUCCAUGCCAUAGCACUGAAACGCAACUGCGUCCUUGCGUCUCCCGUCUCCUCCUCCUCCUUCUUCCUCGCCGUCAUUCUUGAUGGCCACCGCUUCUUUGACGCAGUGUCCUCCGUUGGGAUUCGGAGGGAAGUACUACCACGUGUCUGCAGAUGGAGGAAGCUGCGUGAGGCAGAGCAGCUUCUUCGGAGGCCAAGCUGUGCUCAAUCAGGGUGUUGGGUAUUCGGUCGUUCUUGGGUUCGGUGCCUUCUUCGCUGUCUUCACCUCUUUCCUGGUACUCCUUCGCUCUUCUCCUCUCGCGUAGACUUCUUCUUUUGUUGGUUUUGGCCUCUGUCUUUUUCGUUUCAAUCUAUGAAUCAUGGUACUUUUGGUUGGAAGAAAGCAUCUCUCUUCACUGAUGAUGAGGUUGUUUCGAAUUUGACUAAUUGGUAUGCAUGAUAAGAUAUGAAAUUCAGGCGAAGUGCAUAGACAGCUGCUCCAUGGCUCUUUCUUCGGUUGUGGGAGUAGAAUUUUCUGUGGCACUAUUUGAUGAUUUCCUGAUUUUCAUAACAAGGUUUUCAUUAAGUGCGGGUUGCUAUGAUCCAUUGUUUUCAUUGGUUGCUUGAUGAAGGACCUUAAGUUGAUAUUUGAAUAACUUGUUGCAUACUCUGACAUAGGAUUGCUACUAUCUGCAGAUAACCUCAGGUUUUUAAGGAGAGUUUGAAAUCUGCAGCGUAUCAUGUGUUUCUCUUUUGUUGUCAUUUUCUUGUUGAUUUUCUUUCCAAAGUUAUAGGAGAAACUCAUCAUAGAGUCAAGAGGACUGGGUAUUUGAACAUUCAGUUAAUACCACGGAGAACGAUAAGUCCUUUCAUGAAUUGCUGACUGUUCUGACUUACCUAUCAGUGCAAUCAGGUCUAUUCCGUACCAUAAAUUGACUAUACAAAAAUUGUGCAGACAAGCCUGUAUUCACUAUACAAUAAUCGUGAGAUACUAGACAAUCAAUUUAAUCAGUAGGAUUGCUUCACUUCUUUCCCUCUGUUUUUGUUGAGAAAAGAAUAUUUUGCUUCUGCAACAUAGCUGAAUCACUACAGUGGAUUCAUCUUUUCAUCCACUUAUCAGAUAUAUCAUGUCAAACAUAAACAUAAGAGAGCCAAUAUUCUCGUCUUUGAGAGACAAAUGUAAUUGUCUUUGCUAUCUCGUUCUAGUUGAAGAACUGUAUUUUUACUUCUCUAGCAUACCAGACUGGCACUAGCUGCCCAUUCUUUUCCUUACAGAAUCGAAUGAAUCGGCAUGGUAUGGAACCUCAAUUGUGAUUAGUAAUUUCCUGUGAUGCCAGGUCUGGCUGGAGAAGCGUUAUGUUGGAUCGCGCCACACUUCUGAAUGGUUCAACACUGCGGGAAGGAAUGUCAAAACUGGACUAAUAGCUAGUGUGAUCGUUUCUCAGGUAUUCCUUCUGCAUUGUUAGUUAGGCAGCUUAGACGGAAUUCCAGCGCAAACAACUAAUAUUUCUCGGGUUGAACUCUUGAAGUGGACGUGGGCUGCUACAAUCUUGCAAAGCUCCAAUGUCGCCUGGCAAUAUGGAGUUAGCGGGCCAUUCUGGUAUGCGAGCGGUGCUACAAUCCAGGUACACGCAACUUCCAUCUGAUGGCUCAUUCGUGUUUAUUGACCUUAACUUCCAAGAGAAAGUCGACAUUGGAGUUCUCACAGCUAAGUCGCUAAAUGCUUGCAAAUAGGUACUCUUGUUCGGUAUAAUGGCCAUAGAGAUAAAAAGAAAAGCUCCUCACGCGCACACAGUUUGUGAAAUCGUGAGAGCUCGGUAUGUAUCACCUAGCCCAAGACGGAACACUCAUAUUUUUCGGCUUAACCCGCGUCACAAGGAUUUCUCUUAUGCUGAUUUCAGUAAGUUUGAAUUUCAGUUGGGGAACUGCUGCGCAUAUUGUUUUCCUCGUCUUCUGCUUCAUGACGAACAUAAUCGUCACUGCGAUGUUGCUUCUCGGUGGCUCUGCUGUCGUCAAUGCUCUGACCGGAAUGAACAUAUAUGCCGCUAGCUUCCUGAUACCCCUCGGAGUGAUUGUCUACACUUUGGCCGGAGGCCUAAAAGCUACCUUCUUGGCAAGCUACAUACAUUCUGUUAUAGGUAUUUUACCACAUAAGCUUUUAGUUUUCAUCUAAGCCCUACUGAUUUGGAAUGCAAGCGCUAACUGGCUGAUGUUUUUGCGUACAGUGCACGUGGUUUUAGUAAUCUUCGUCUACUUAGUAUACACGGCAAGCCACGAGCUCGGUAGCCCCGGCGUUGUUUACAGACGUCUCUUGGAGGUAGCGAGCAAAUCAAGAUCAUGUCAGGAGCCGAUUUCCCACAGCGGGCAAUCUUGUGGUCCUGUCAGUGGCAACUACGAUGGAUCUUACUUGACAAUGUUAAGCUCUGGAGGGCUCGUGUUCGGUAUCAUCAACAUUGUCGGCAACUUUGGUACCGUCUUUGUUGACAAUGUAAGUUUCGUCACCGAGAGUGAUCUGCCUGCCCAGAUGCGAGCAUAAAUUUUUUCCCUUUCAUUAAUCGCGAUGUCAUAUUUUGACUGAAACAUUACAGGGAUACUGGGUGAGCGCCAUAGCUGCGAGACCCUCUUCGACACACAAGGGCUAUUUGUUAGGUGGACUGGUGUGGUUCGCGGUGCCAUUCUCAUUGGCCACAUCCCUCGGUAUAGGAGCACUCGCGCUCGAUUUGCCGAUUACAGAGAGCGAAGCAAGCCAUGGGCUUGUUCCUCCAGCUACAGCUAUUGCUUUGAUGGGGAAAGGAGGAGCUGUCCUCCUUCUCACUAUGCUCUUCAUGUAAGUUCUGCAUCUGUCAAUACUACUAUAAUAGACACAAAUAAAACAGCACGAUUUUAUCAUUUGAUGCGCAUUUGUUGGGCUGAAAAAUGGUGCAUCGGCAUUGAACUAAGAUCAAAUAGCGUACUUAGCAUUGCUCUGUUCUUAUGUGUCAGGGCCGUGACGUCCGCUGGUUCCUCUGAACUAAUAGCGGUGUCUUCAUUGUGCACAUAUGACAUCUACCGCACUUACAUCAAUCCAAACGCAAGCGGGAAGAAAAUCCUCCAGGUUUCAAGGGGCAUCAUCCUCGGGUUUGGGUGCUUCAUGGGAGUGCUUGCGGUGAUCUUGAACAAGGCUGGAGUCUCACUCGGCUGGAUGUACCUCGCGAUGGGAGUGAUUGUCGGCUCGGCUGUCAUUCCCAUUGCGUUUAUGCUCCUCUGGAGGAAGGCAAACGCGUUCGGUGCGAUUCUGGGGACGAUCUGUGGGUGCAUCCUGGGAAUCAUAACUUGGUUGGUGGUCACGAGCGUCGAGUAUGGCCGGGUAAAUCUGGACACCACUGGGAGGAACGCGCCGAUGCUUGCAGGGAAUCUCGUCUCGAUUCUUACUGGCGGGGCAAUCCAUGCUAUCUGUAGCUUCCUGUGGCCACAAAACUAUGAUUGGGAAACCACCAAGGAGAUCACAAUGGUCGAAAAGGAUAAGACCGACCUGCCGUCGGAGGAGUUCAAGGAAGAGAAGCUGAUGAGGGCGAAGGCAUGGAUCGUGAGAUGGGGCGUCGGGUUCACUCUCGUCAUCGUGGUGUUGUGGCCAGUUCUCUCGCUCCCAGCAAGUAAGUUAAAUUCCUAACGCCUUGAGACUGCUUAACAUAUUGCACGCAACAUUUAAUGUCUGCUUUUUCUGAAACUUUCCUGUUGCUUUGCUUGUCUACAGGGGAAUUCAGUAAAGGGUAUUUUACAUUCUGGGCGGCCAUCGCAAUAGCGUGGGGAACCAUCGGCUCUGCGGUCAUCAUUGCCCUGCCGGUGAUCGAGAGCUGGCAGACUAUCCGGAGCGUCUGUGUCGGCAUGUUCACGAACGACCAGCUCAUGGAAAAGAUCCAAGAGCUCAACAUCAAGUUACAGGCAGUCGUAUCGGCGAUACCUGAAGCAGAGAGAUUGUAUCUCCUCGAGGUGGAAAAGACCAAGAAACUGGAUGCUGGUGAGCAACAAGUCCUGCCUGCUUAGCUUGCUCGACGUGAGCUGCCAACGCGAAAAUCUUUAGGGGGUAUGAAAUUUGUGCAGAAAAGAAGAGGAAGGGUGGACUUGCCUUUUCUUUUUUGUCAUGUCAUGUCACUCUUCGUGCUUGAAAAGGAGCAUGCUUUGGGCAAGAAAAGCAAGUGGCUCGGAGGCCACAAUCUGUAAUUUUCCCCACGUAAAUGUUCCUGAUCUCAAUGAAAUGGAAUUAAAGUUGUCGAUAGUCUCUGCUGACAUUCAUUUAAUUUUACAAGUUACCACUCACUUUCAUGAAUACACGGAACCUUUUUUGCAGCAUUAGGCCCUACAGUCAUUGAUCACAGAACUCAACUUGCCCUCAUCAACCACUCUUAACCAUAACAAAUGAGGUUCUCAAGAGCCUCCUCCUGCUGAACGCAAAUGCCAUGGACUGCCUCAAAUCAAUUCUGUAAAUGCAAUUGAAGCCUGUUUCUUUCACAUUGUAGGUGGCUGCUUGCGCCGUGUAAGCCUAGAUCUACACUCACGAUGGGAAUUCAGGAACAUAACCCCGUGGCUGUGGCCUUCUCAGAAGCCUGCUCUCGAUACCUAUUAACGAUUAUACAUGUACAGAACAUGAAACCUUCCAUAAAAGUCCAUCUUUUCCUCUUGCUCAUAGUGAACCGGAUCUUUUCCUCACGCUAUCUUAGUCCCUUCAAAGCGGAAAAGACAUUGCUUUCCUACAGAGCGACUUGCUUUCGCAAUCACCAAACCAAUCACAAGUCCAUUUCCAGAACACGCGAUAUCAUUCACUCCUGAGCCAUGACCGACCACCUACUGCCACCCAUUAGCCUCCAAGACAGCCAAGGACGCAAACAUUAAAGAUACAUCCUCGCGCUGGUACACUGGGAAUUGACAACUUAAAAAUUCAACAACUACCCAUCAUUAAAGUUCUCAUCAUCUCCCAACAACCUUCCCAACUUUCUUCGAGCAAUAAAAACAUAUGCUAGAUAUGAAGCAACCAUCGAUGUCAUCGUGUAAAGUCACUUUCCAAGAAAAUACUCUCAGCUAUAACCUCUGCCAUUGUGAAUAACACAUUCCCUAAUCGAAUGAAACAAAGAGGGUUCGAAAUCACUUGCUCAUAAAGCUAUGCCUCAUUCCUAAUGUCAUUCUACUGGAACGACUCAACCCAAACAUUCAUACAUGGAGUGAUAUUUGCUCCAUCACUUGCUCUAAAACUUUGAAGCUGGCAACGAGAGAUUCACCAUGUUCAAACAUGGAGCUACAUUUGCGCUACCACUUUACUUUUAUGCGACAUUCACCAUCACAAACACCAUACGUCAAGCAACACAUCCGUCACAUUCCAGAAAAUAGCUCACAUCUGCGGAUCAGAAAUUUCUGACUAGACGUUCCAUUUUCGAGAACUUGCUACAGGCAAGACACACAAAAAGUGAAGUGCGAGGAAUAUAACGAAAGUCGCCAGGACACAUGAGAUUCUGAAAAGUAAUAAAGAGAGCGAUCACAUAGUGUUCUUAAUUCUCAUAGGGUACGAGUUUCAAACACAGCGAUAAUGAAGCCCCUAGAGGAUAGAUAGAGUCACAGACAUCAAGCAGAGGCACCAGCUUCUUCCAACAGCUGCUUCACCUUUGUGAUGUAAUCGUUCAUUGCUUCGUCCGCCGAUUUGCCAGCGAACAAGCAAAAAUAUCAAUCUUAGAAAUAGCAAAGUCCAACACAAAUCAUUAAAUAAAAAGAAAAGGAAACAGGCAUUAUUUAUCUCGGAGAUGGACCUGGUUGAGAAACAACGCGUUGAAGCAUGACAAGUUGCAAAUCCAAAAUCCAUUAGAUGAGGGUGAGUUACUGACUGGUGUUCACUGGUCCAACCGUGGCUUGCUUGUAAAGCCCAUAGAGGAUGAGCUUGUUCUCAUUGGUUGUACUCUCCGGCAAGGUCUUGGCUUUCUCAGCAUAUUCCUCAAAGUCUUCCUGCAUAAACCAACUAGGUGAUGACGUUAACAAGGAUGACACUAAAAGUACACAUCAACUUCCUCAAAGCUCUAUAAAAGCACACAAGAAGAGAACAACUAACAUGUCCGCAAAGUUAAUAACAGAAGUACGAAAACCAACAUGAAUUAAAUAAAGUAAAACGUUUAUUAUGCUGUCACCACAAAAAAGAAGAUAAAAAGCGCAUGAUAUUCUGAAGAAGAAUGGUAUUUUAGGCAACGCACGGAACAGAGAUGCCUGUGCAGAUGCUAGACGGCUCUGAUCGAUUGUCUUUCCAUCCUGCGAUAGUCGAAGGAAAAAGCAGAGGCGGAGACGAGAAGACUGAAACGAGAAUUCAGUUUGAAUAGUCAGCGUCCUGCUUUGACCCGACAUCAGCGAAUCUGCUUUCCCUAGUUUCCCUAGUUUCCCUAGUUUUUCUCUUGAGAAUGAGUUUCGUCUAGCCGGCGUUUCUACUCUAGCUAUCGGCCGGGAUUGAUCCGAUCCGGACGAGAUCAGUUUACGAAAGAUCCAUUCUUUGAAUUAUCGCCGCUCUAUAGUCAUUGGGACCUUGGAGAAUACCUUGUUCAUCUUCCAGCAUAAUAAUAUCCAAGUGAUGAUAUAAUUGUCAUCUCUCUAGAACGAUCUCAGAGCAAUUCUAAAUUCAUGAAGGGGGGUUUCUACGCGAUCUCUAGAAAAUUUAUUUGCCAUUUAUGGAACGUUUCACCACGAUUUCAUCCAUUCAAAGACGUUAGAUUUUUGUCAGCAUCUAUAGACAUAAUUAGGCGCGUGAUUGAUUAAGCAGUCAUUAAUAUUUCUAAAUGUUAAUUUAUGGUGGGAUUAGGAAUAGGAGGACGUGUGAGGAAGCUGCUUCAAGUAGGUCAAACCUGCUUCGCCUUUGACCCACUUGAAUGUGAACACUCAAAAAGUUAUCCUUUGGACUUUUCCAUAAGAUAAUGCGAACAUAGAAUUGAUUAUAUAGCUUGACCAUAAGAUGACUUGCCAUUACUUGGAGCUGAGGGAAUGAAAACGACGUCAUCGUGCGUGCGAAAAAUGAAUAUUGCUUGUAUGCAAAAUUGAGUGAACAAUGGUCCUUGUUUGCACUCCACUAAUAAAAGUCUCGAUUGAAAGAGAUCUCCAAUGAAGAGAUGGAGGAAAACAUGCUAAAGAAAAGAAGUAUUCUCAGGCAUGAACCGUGAUAAAGAACUAUUAAUUGAUAUGCCUUUUUUUUUUUUUCAUUGUAUCUUUUUUUUUAUUUUAUAAAUUGUCCUUCCAUGAAACAAGAUAUGUCUAUAGUAUAUUCAUCGGGACAUCCUAUAUAAAGACGGUGAAAUUAGCCCCUAGACUUUGAAAUCAUGGGUAUACCCGUCAAUAUAAUAUUUCGUUAAACCAACUUCAGACAAGGUUUCCGGCUGCAGUGUAGUGAGGCUGUGAGAAACUAUUUAAUAAUAUGGUGCAAGCAUGUAUCCAAUUGAACCUGGAUCAUCAUUUCUAGUGCGACUAAAUGUGAGCACUAGGUUGGCUCUAUAUAGGUUGGGCCCAGAGGUUAGGCCGAAUUUGAUACCUGAGCCUGUCUAUAAUAAAAAAUUUACCCACAAAUUCUCGGGCUGGGUCAAGCCUGUAGAGUUGGAGGUGCCGGGCUUACUCGUGAAAGAACGUGGCCCAAGUCCAAGCCCACCCAUUUACCUCUCAGCCCCCGCCCGCUCAUUGAUCACCUCUUGAUGGGACUCACAAGGACCCAAUGUUUCCAAUAAUUUGUGUUCGUGUUCAACUCAGUUUAGUAGAUAUACUAUGUAAAAAUUUAUCGACACUAUGAUAAAGGAUAUCUCGAUCGGAAACCUCAAACAGAACAUAAGUUGUACGAAGGAAAGUUCCCAAAUUCAAAAUGUCAAGUUUGAUUGGAAGUUCCAAAUAUGAGCCAAAUUAAACUACAAAAACUCUACCAGAUGUCAACGAUGAAUAUGUAAAAAAAGCAUAAUUUAGAUGUCGUCAGAUGGGGUUGCAAGUUGUCAAAGAUGAGAAAGCACAUAACAUUCGCCGCUUGGAAGGUUGAACUGAAGAUUAGAACGAUAGAGCCAGGCAUCACAAUAGUCAGCUACAUAACAUCAUUGUGUUCGAACAUAAUGGCGAAAGGUCUCUAGGGCAGAGCAAAGAGCCCUUGCGAACGAGCCUUAGGGACAACGUGCUCUACCGAUCGCCGCUUCCUCGUGGGCCAGUCAAAGAUCCAUGCAAGAAGCUUUCCCAUCUUGUCAGUAGCAGCAGCGACUGGGAAUUCUUUUCUCCGAAUUAUGUUGCAUAAUCUUGCGUAGAAAAAUCGAGAAAUGAAAGAACUGAAUCGAUCACUUAUUGAUUUAACUGGCUCAACAUCAUGUUAGAGAAAGCCCAAUCCAAAAGUUUCGAGGACGUCAUCCGGCUUCGCUUCUGACCACUUGAAUGAGUGGCUUUUGCAGGUCAUGGAGAUGAUGUGUCUUUGCCAUAAGAUAAUGUGAACACCAAAAACUCCGAGCCUUCUUAGGGCUCACCGUUAUUUGGAGUGGAGGGUAUAGGAACCAGGUUGCGUAUUUGAAAUCAUGGGUAUACUUGUGGAAGAAUACUCAUCUAACUACUAACAAGAUUUCUGACAUAGUUGAGUGAGGCUAUCAAUAAAUUAUUUAGUGAAUAUGGUGCAUACAUGUAUUGAAUAGAAUUUGGAUAGUCACAUCUAGUGGGACUAAAGGUGAGCACCAAGCAAGCUCCGGUUAGAUUGGGCCUAAUUUGUUGCCUGAGCCCGUCUAUAAUAUGAAAUUGCCAUAGAAAUUCUCGAGCUUCGCCUGAGUUUGUAAAGUUGGAGGGGUCGUGCUUGCUUAUGUAAGAACCUUGCCCAAGUACUAGCUCGCCCAUUUAUCUCGUGAACUUGGGGGGCUAAGUGGUUUGCCUGCCCCUUAAUCUCCUCUCAAUGGGAGCCAUAUGGAUAUAGCAUUUCCAAUGGUUCAUGUCAGUUCAUAUUAAUAUAUAUACAUAAUAGGGAUGGACUGUGCUUGUGUGGAUAUGAUCUAGACUUAUAACUUAAAAUUUACCUUGUUGGGAUUAGUUCCCAAUUUUUAUAACUAAAAACUUACCUUGUAGAUCUAGGAACUGACUCUAUCAGUUCGCUCUAGUUCCAAGUCUAUUGGAGAAGCAGCCAAUUUCCUUUUUUUUUUUUGUGGGUUUUAUUCUUUUAUUCCUUGAAAAGACAAACUUUAGUAAAACAUCCUAUAAUUUACAAUCGAAACAAAUAAUGGUUACAUCAAAAUAGUAGAAUCACAAAAUGCCAAGGAAUACAGUACAUAACAAACAAAAAUAUAAUACGAAUGGGAAGUUCAUCUCAUCCUUAGUCAAGCAAAAUUAAAGUUAAAACAACAAUAGAAAUUCUCAUUCACCAAAAGCAGCAAUCCAUGGAAAAAAAUACAAUGUCUUUAGCUAUGUUAUUGUGAAGUGUUGAGAGCUAUUGACGGCUUGAAAGAAUUGAAUUCUUUAAAGGAGGUGGAUUUGUCCAAUGUGUUGGCUUUCACCAAGUCAGAGACAGAUUGGACACUGCAAAAAGUUGUAGUGGAUAUGUCCUGGAAAAGUUUGUCCAAUGUGUUGGCUUUCACCAAGUUAGAGACAGAUUGGACACCGCAAAAAGUUGUAGUGCACAUCAUUUAGUCACGGAAGUGAUUGUGACUUUCGAAUUGUAGGACAAAUAAGCACCGUUCCAAAAGUGCAAGAACUCCUAUAGAUCCUAGAACCGGUGCUCCCCCUAGUAGAUAUACUACACUCAUAUAUUAAUUUGUCGAUGUUAUGAUUGGAAAUCUUAACAGAAGUUGUACAAGAUGAUGUGUUCACCAAACAAGAAUUUUGCAAGGUAACGUAAGGUCUCCCAAUCAAUAUAUAUUAAUGAGCUCUCCUAAAGUUUCCAAAUUCAAAAUAUCUCCUUCCAUUCGAGGUUUCAAAUUUGAGCCAAAUCGAACUGCGAAAACUCCACUCGUUCUAAAUGAAUACUGAACAAAGUCAAUAAGUUACAUAUUGUCGAAUGGGGAUUGAAACUGUAAGAUGAGGAAGAACUCUUUCUGCAAUGCAAAUUGGGAAUAUUCAAUGGAUAGUUUAGAGAGUUGAAUUCAAGAUUAGUAGAACAGAGGCAGGAAUCGCAAAAGUCAGCUAUAUAAACAUCAUCGUUUUAAAAAAUAAUGGCCAAGAGACGGCCUUCAGGGCAGUGCAAAGAGGCCAUGUGAAUGAGCCUUAGGGACGAUGAACUGCGCCGUUCGCCGCUUCCGCGUGGGCUGAGUCAAAGAUCCAUUCAAGGAAGUAUUUCCCUCUCGUAUACUUCAAUACAACUGAGCGUUCUUUUUCUUUACUCUUGGCCACUUGAUACAACAGCAUUUUAUCCUUGCUUCCUACUUAUUAUAACACCAAGUGUGAUCGACUGUCAUGAAGUAUGUUGAGAUGCACGUAUGGAUUUUAUUAGAAAAGUCUUAUGUUCGAGAAUUGGUGUGACGUGGAGCGAUUGACAAUCCUAGCUAGCAAAUUACUCAUUAAUUUAAACUUUUGAGUGAAUAUAGACCUAAAUGGAUAUGUGCGGUCUUGGAUUUAAGCUCAUUAUUGAUGAUUUUUCUGUUAGAGGUUUGUUUGUAAAACAAACUAAGUGCGUUUUUCUUGUCCCACAUAGGAAAAAUGGGAGGAAGUGGGUCAAUUAAUAAGUGUGGGAUUUCCUUUGUAUAUCUAAAGGAAUGAUUGGGUGGAGCUAGACCUCACCAUACCUGUGUGCAGGUGCACGACUAUUUGGCGCACUUAGCACUCAUCACGCCUGCGGUUUAAUUAGCACUAAUCCCUUUGUUAUUUAUUUAUUUUUAUUUUUAUGUUAUUAAUUUUAAUCAAUUCAAAGGUUGCUUUUGUUUUCUGCAAAUUUUUCGAAAAUUAUUUAAAAUAAAAAUUGGAAAUUUUAGUUAAAAAAAUUAUUCCGAAUUUUUUUGUUUGUGUUUUUUCAAGACAACCUUUGAAAAUAUACUUGUUUAGUUUGCAACUUUUCCCGAAGGGAUAUGUCAUUCUUUGAACUUAUUAUGAAUAGACGUCUUUGUUCAACCGGGCAAUUUUCAGAAGGACACGUUUGUUCAUUUUUUAGCAAUUUUUUUAUGAAGAGUUGCAUAUGUUUUAAGACUGUUAUAUAUAUAUAUAUAUAUACUUGUCAUUUUUCGGAAGAACUAGAGUGAUCAUUUUCAAGCCUUCUUUAAGAAAAAACUGCUGCCAUUUUUUCGAUUGUUUCUUAGAGAGAUCCUGGAAAAAUACUAGAAUUGCUAUCUAGUAUUCUCAUUUCGAGACUUUGUUGUAUCCUAGAUGAUAUUUUCCGGUGACUAUUAGCAACGUUGUGGGGUAAAUAAAUUUUUAAAGAGAAUGAUAUCACGUCUCAAAGUCCAACUUGAGUACUCUAAAUAUUCUUCUUCAUUGUUCUACCCAAUUUGAAGUCAUAUUUUCCCAACAUUUCCUAGUGAAUGUAGGCACUUCACUGCACAUUUGAGUCAAGCCCCUAUGCUAAUCUCUACAAUGCUUGCACAAUAUCGUAAUCAAAGUAAUCUAUUAAGAUUCAAAAUGCAUCGAGAGUUAAAAUCCUUUUAGGACCACGAUGUAAAAACACAGGUGAAUUAUGCAGUCACCAACGAAAAAAAAUAAAAAUCACAGAUGAGGUUUUGGGCGUCGAUUGUGGGUACUCAAAAGUGUUUGUGCACGCGGUAGAUGCUCGGCCGGCUCUUGAUUGGAUUUUUUUUUUUUUCCAUUUGGUUUCAAGAAUACAAGACUAAUAUUAAAAUAUUUAAAAAAUAAAUUACGUAUUCGUAUGACAGCUUAAGUUUUUAGAAUAAUUAACAGUGAUUUUCACAAAAAUCUCACAUAGUAUUAGAGUAGGAGAUCCUAAGUUUAAAUAUUUCUUGAUCCCAUUUGUUUCCUUCUAAUUAAAUAUGUCAACACUUAGUACUAAACAAAAAUACUAGACUAAACGUAAAUUAUUUUUUCAUUUAACAACUUAAACUUUUAGAAAAAUUAGUAUUAAUCCUCACGAAAAUUUCACAACUGCCUUGAUAUGAUGCUGAAAAGGUAGCUUCAAGAAAUGGAGGGUGUGAUGUCCGUACUGAUGUUAGCAGCAGCAGCAGCUGGGGUAUUCUUUUCUCCGGAUCAUGUUGCAAAAUGUUGCUUAGAAAAAUUAAGAAAAAUGAAAGAAGGGAAUCCGUCACUCAUUAAUUUAAGUGGGUUUUGGCAAGUUCUUUCUUGCUUAUAGCAUCCCUCUUGUACACAACUUGCUAGAUUACGUUAGAAGAAGGAAGAAGGUGAAGCAGCAAAGUGCAUGGUCAGCUCCUGCUUAUGCUCUCCCUGACAGCUCUUGCAACACGACCGUGCGGAGGACACCCAUACACGCAAGUACGCGACUAGCUCUAACAUAUAAUAAUAGUUCGAUGAGAAUGAGUUCAUAAUACUUCGUCCCCAUCGGCGCAAGAAAGAAAUGAAAAAAUCUAUGUAUGAGUAUCUCGAACUUCGCUGGGGAGACAUGCUAAUCAACAAGAGCUCUCGUUAACUUUCAAGGUUUAAUUCAAGCUCUUUUCCAUCCAUCACGCGUCGGAUUAAUGUCAUGUAUCCAUAUAAAAAAGAUCACAUAUAUGUCGUAGAAUUAGUAUUAAUUUGUCAGAUUAAUUUGCAAAAUAAUAGGUCAUGGAAGUAACGAGAAUCCUCAACCUUUACUUAAGCAUAACCAAAAGUCAAAAGCUUUUUGAGUUCAAGAUUCUCGUUGGCAAAUGUAGCCUUGCAUUGCACGUCGUAGAAAAUGCUGAUCAGAGCCUGCUCUCUACGUUGCACAAAUGAAUUUUCAGUAAUUUUUUGAAUAAGAGUGCACUUGGCAACUGGCCAAAUAGUGUUUAAUUCUAUUCUUUUGUUCCCGGAAGUAGAUUUGGAACAGAAAUCCAUUUAAUAAAUUUUUUAUUCUCAAAAAUAAAAAUUCAAAAAAAGUUGAUUUUUUGUUUCGGAAAACAAUUUCAAAAUUAAGCCAACCAAAAUUUUUUCUUUUCUUUUCUCUUCUUCUUCCAUCGUUGCAACCAUUGGCCGCCGCCGUUGCCGGUUGCAGGUGACCAAUAGGGCGAGCUCGUUGAAGGCUCGCCCAGCCAGCCCCACCUAGCUGGUGAAGGCACGGCUGAGCCCUAGUUGGGUUGGGCGAGGCUCAACCCAGAUCUGGCGAUGCUGAGCUCGCCUAGCCAAGGCUCGGCCGAGCCUCGCCCAGUUGUUGGCGAGGCUUGGUUGAUGAGGUGCAGCCUUGCCAAGGGUUGACAACACUCAAGCGAGGUCGCCGGCCAGAGCUUGAAGAAGAAGGAGAAGGGAAAGAAAAAAAAAGAAAAAGAAAAAAAAGGAAAAAGCAAUAAAAUUAUUAAAAAUUAAAAAAAAAUGGUUUGGAAUAGAAAUUUUGAUGAAGGUGUCAAACACAAUUAUAUUCUAAAAAUAGAAAUUUUGAAAAAUUACCAAAUGUAUUAAAAUAUUUAGAAAUUGUUCUCGGGAGCAAAAUAAAAAAGAAUCAUCUCUAAUUAAAAAUUAUUUUUGGGAAUAAAAUGGUUACUAAAUGCCCUCUAAUUGCCCGCUAUGCUAUUUUCUCGAGAUGUAUAAAAGUCAAAUAGAUCAUUCCAAGAAAGACUUUUCAAGAUGACGAGAGGCGAAUGAAGCCAUGCAAGCGGGCCAAUGGCACACCUCGAAACCGUGAAUAUUUUCUUGUUUGUCGCUAUCAAUUAUGUCGGGCUUACGUUGACGAGAAUAUUCCAUAUUUUAAUAUAAAUUGUACUAUAGGAUAACAUUAUUGUGAACAAGAUUUUCCAUGCAUUUUUUUUUAAUGAUAGGACGCGCUGAGCUUUUGCAAACUAACUCUUAUCCUGGAGUUUUAAAUGGCUCACAAAGAUUCACAUGCACUAUUUCAGUCCUUAAACCAUAUUUGUGGAUAGUCAUAGACGAUAGAAAAGAGAAAAUAAUGGAUUCACUUUUUAACCGUUUACAUGAGUAAAAGAAAAUUGAAGGGAGAAGAAGAGGAGAUGAAAUUCAAUUUGAAUCACUAGAAAUAAUCGAGAGCUUUUAUUACCUCCAUCCUUAAUGAAUAGAGAAAUUACGAUUGGUAAGGUGGAUCACAAUGUUUGUACGUAUUUAUGGACAAUCCAUUUUGCCUGCGAAAUCAUUUCUUUUCUUUCCCAAAGAUUACGAACACAAGGCAAGUUCCUUUCAAUUCAUGUUCAUGCAGCUCGAUCCGACCUUGUCCAAGAAAUUCAGUUUCCUUGCUCCAGCAGCGAUGUUUGAAUCUACCCAAGUUUCCCUGAAUCUAGUGAGAUGAGUUUGAGAGAAGAUGGUGGUGGCUUAGUCAGAGAUAGUGAUGAUGAUUGGUGGAGAUUCCCCAUUCACUGAGAGAGCUAUACCCUCUCGUGUGGACUUUUAGAGACUAUCGAGGCCUUUGGUCGUGAGCGAGAGCAACAAGGGACGAAAAACGCACACUCAACCCAUCCGUAAAUCCGUACCCUCUCCUAUCUCUCUGCUUAGAAGAUGUCAGCCAUGAAGAUCAAUUAUAAAUACUCUGCGAUUCAUCGAUCCUUGCGUCUCCUCCUUCAUCUUCUUCCUCGCCAUCAUUCUUGAUGGCCACCAGUUCUUUGACGCAGUGUCCUCCGUUGGGAUUCGGCGGGAAGUACUACCAUGUGUCUGCGGAUGGAGGAAGCUGCGUCAGGCAGAGCAGCUUCUUCGGAGGCAAAGCUGUGCUCAAUCAGGGUGUUGGGUAUUCGGUCGUUCUUGGGUUCGGUGCCUUUUUCGCUGUCUUCACCUCUUUCCUGGUACUCAUUCAGCUCAUUUGCUCUUUUCCCCUUGCGCAGACUUCUUCUUUUGUUGGUUUUCGGCCUCUGUUUUUUUUUUCGUUUCACUCUAUGAAUCGUGGUGCUUUUGGUUGGAAGAAAGCAUUUCUCUUCAACGAUGAUGAGGUUGUUUCGGUUUUGACCAUUUGGUAUGCAUGACAAGAUAUGAAAUUCAGGCAAAGUACCAUAGAGAGUUCCAUGGCUCUUUCUUCGGUUGUGGGACUAGAAUUUUCUGCGGCACUAUAUGAUGAUUUCCUGAUUUUCAUGACAAGGUUUUCAUUAAGGGUGGGUCAUUAUGAUCCAUUGUUUUCAUUGGUUGCUUGAUGAAGGGACCUUAAGUUGAUCUUUGAAGAAACUUGUUGCACACUUUGACAUAGAAUUGCUACCAUCUGCAGAUAACCUCAGAUUCUUAAGGAGAGUUUGAAAUCUGCAGUGUCUCUCUUGAUAGUCGAUGAUCCUAUCUCACCUGAUGAUCAAGCUGAGUCUUAGAUGUAUCACGUCUCUCUCUUUUGCUGUCAUUUUCUUGUCGAUGUUCUUUCCAAGGUUAUGGGAGUUACUCAUCAUAUUCAAUAGGACUGGAUAUUUGAACAUUCGGUUAAUACCACGAGACAAUGAUAAGUCCUUUCAUGAAUUGCAGAAUGUUCCGACUUAACUAUCAGUGCAAUCAGGUCUAUUCCGUACCAUAAAUUGGUGACAUGAAAAUCGUUCAGACAAGCCUGUAUUCACUAUCCAAUAACCAUGAGACACCAGCCGAUCAAUUUAAUCAGUAGGAUUGCUUUGCUACCUCAUUCUAGUCGGAAAACUGUAUUUCUACAUCUCUAGCAUCCCAGACCGCUAGUUGCUCAUUCUUUUCCUUACAGAAUCGAAUGAAUCAGUGGCAUGGUAUGGAAGCUUACUUGUGAUUCUGAUUGGUGAUUAGUAAUUUCCUGUGAUGCCAGGUCUGGCUGGAGAAGCGUUAUGUCGGAUCGCGUCACACUUCUGAAUGGUUCAACACAGCAGGAAGAAAUGUUAAAACUGGACUAAUAGCCAGUGUGAUCGUUUCUCAGGUAUUCCUUCUGCAUUGUUAGUUAGGCAGCUUAGACAGAAUACCAGCUCAAACAACUCAUAUGUAUCGGUUUGAACUCUUGAAGUGGACAUGGGCCGCUACAAUCUUGCAAAGCUCCAAUGUUGCCUGGGAAUAUGGAGUUAGCGGGCCGUUCUGGUACGCCAGCGGUGCUACGAUCCAGGUACGCAAAACUUCCAUUUGAUUGCUCAUUCGUGUUUAUUGACUUUAACUUCCAAGAGAAAAUAGACACUGGAGUUCUCACAGUUUGAGUCACUAAAUGCUUGCAAAUAGGUACUCUUAUUCGGUAUAAUGGCCAUAGAGAUCAAAAGAAAAGCUCCUCACGCGCACACUGUCUGCGAAAUCGUGAGAGCUCGGUAUGUGUCAACUGGCCCAAGACGUAGCACUUUUAUUUUUUUGGUUUAACUCGUGUCGCAAUGAACUCUCUUAUGCUAAUAUCAGUAAGUUUCAAUUCCAGUUGGGGAACUGCUGCGCAUAUUGUUUUCCUCGUCUUCUGCUUCAUGACCAACAUAAUCGUCACUGCCAUGUUGCUUCUCGGUGGCUCUGCUGUUGUAAAUGCUCUGACCGGAAUGAACAUAUAUGCCGCUAGCUUCCUGAUCCCCCUCGGAGUGAUUGUCUACACAUUGGCCGGAGGCCUAAAAGCCACCUUCUUGGCGAGCUACAUACAUUCUGUUAUAGGUAUUUUGCUGCAUAAGCUUCGUAGUUUUCACGUAAGCUGUAUUGAUGUGGAAUGCAAGCACUAACUGGGUGAUGUUUUCACUUACAGUGCACGUGGUUUUAGUAAUCUUCGUCUACUUGGUAUACACAGCAAGCCACGAGCUCGGCAGCCCCAGCGUCGUUUACAGACAUCUCUUGGAGGUAGCGAGCAAAUCAAGAUCAUGUCAGGAGCCGAUUUCCCACAGCGGGCAAUCUUGCGGUCCAGUUAAUGGGAACUAUGGUGGAUCUUACUUGACAAUGUUAAGCUCUGGAGGGCUCGUGUUCGGUAUUAUCAACAUUGCCGGCAACUUUGGUACCGUCUUUGUCGACAAUGUGAGUUUCAUCACUGAGAAUGGUCUGUUCGGCCGUAUGUGGGCAUAAAUUUUUCCCUUUCAUUAACCACAAUGUUACGUUUUGACUGGAACAUUGCAGGGAUACUGGGUGAGUGCCAUAGCUGCGAGACCCUCAUCGACACACAAGGGCUAUUUGUUAGGCGGACUGGUGUGGUUUGCUGUGCCGUUCUCGCUCGCCACAUCCCUCGGUCUAGGAGCACUUGCACUCGAUUUGCCAAUUACAGCAAGUGAAGCAAGCCAUGGACUUGUUCCCCCAGCGACAGUUAUUGCUUUGAUGGGGAAAGGGGGAGCUGUCCUCCUCCUCACUAUGCUCUUCAUGUAAGUUCUGCAUCUGUCAAUACUUCUGUAAGGGACACAAAUUAAACAGGACGAUUUUAUCAUUUGAUUCGCAUUUGUUGGGCAGAAAAAUGGUACAUAACUAAGAUCAAACAGCGAACUUAGAAUUGCUCUGUUCUUAUGAGUCAGGGCCGUGACAUCCGCUGGUUCCUCCGAACUAAUAGCGGUGUCUUCAUUGUGCACAUAUGACAUCUACCGCACUUACAUCAAUCCAAACGCAAGCGGGAAGAAGAUCCUCCAGGUUUCAAGGGGCAUCAUCCUUGGGUUCGGGUGCUUCAUGGGAGUGCUUGCGGUGAUCUUGAACAAGGCUGGAGUCUCACUCGGCUGGAUGUACCUUGUGACGGGAGUGAUCGUUGGCUCAGCUGUCAUUCCCAUUGCGUUCAUGCUCCUCUGGAGGAAAGCAAAUGCGCUCGGUGCGAUUCUCGGGACGAUCUGUGGGUGCAUCCUGGGAAUCAUAACUUGGUUGGUGGUCACGAGCGUGGAGUAUGGCCAGGUAAAUCUGGACACCACAGGGAGGAAUGCGCCGAUGCUCGCGGGGAAUCUCGUCUCGAUUCUUACUGGCGGGGCAAUCCAUGCCAUCUGUAGCUUCCUGUGGCCUCAAAACUAUGAUUGGGAAACCACUAAGGAGAUCACCAUGGUCGAAAAGGAUAAGACCGACCUGCUGUCGGAGGAGUUCAAGGAAGAGAAGCUGAUGAGGGCGAAGGCAUGGAUCGUGAGAUGGGGCGUUGGGUUCACCCUCGUCAUCGUCGUGUUAUGGCCAGUUCUCUCGCUCCCAGCAAGUAAGUCAAACUCCUAAGCCUUAGACUGCCUGACAAAUUGCAGGCGACAUUUUAUGUCUGCUUUUUCUGAAACUUUCUUGUUGCUUUGCUUGUCUGCAGGGGAGUUCAGUAGAGGGUAUUUUACAUUCUGGGCUGUCAUUGCGAUAGCGUGGGGAACCAUCGGCUCUGCGGUCAUCAUCGCCCUGCCGGUGAUUGAGAGCUGGCAGACUAUCCAGAGCGUCUGUGUCGGCAUGUUCACAAACGACAGGCUCAUGGAAAAGAUCCAAGAGCUCAACAUGAAGUUACAGGCGGUCGUAUCAGCAAUACCUGAAGCAGAGAGAUUGUAUCUCCUCGAGGUGGAAAAGACCAAGAAACUGGAUGCUGGUGAGCAACAAGUCCCGCCUGCUUAGCUCGCUCGACGUGAGUUGUCAACGUGAAAAUCUUUAGGGGGUGUGAAAUUUGUGCAGAAAAGAAGAAAUAGGGUGAACUUGCCUUUUCUUUUUGGUCAUGUCAUGUCACUCUUCGUGCUUGUAAAGGAGCAUGCUUUGGGCAAGAAAAGCAAGUGGCUCGGAGGACACAAUCUGUAAUUUUCCCCACGUAAAUGUUCCUGAUCUCAAUGAAAUGGAAUUAAAGUUGUCGAUCGUCUCUGCUGACAUUCAUUUCAUUUUACAAGUUACCACUCACUUUCAGGAAUAUAGGGAAACUUUUUUGCAGCAUUAGGCCCUACAGUCAUUGAUCACAGAUAACUCAACUUGCCCUCAUUAACCACUCGUAGCCAUAAUAAAUCAGGUUCUCAAGAGCCUCCUCCUGCUGAACGGAAAUGCCAUGGACCGCCUCAAAUCGAUUCUGUAAAUGCAAUUGAAGCCUGUUUCUUUCACAUUGUAGGUGGCUGCUUGCGCUGUGUAUGCCUAGAGCUACACUCGCGACAGGAAUUCAGAAACAUAACCCCGUGGGUGUGGCCUUCUCAGAAGCCUGCUCUCGAUACCUAUGAACGAUUAUACAUGUACAGAACAUGAAACCUUCCAUGAAAGUCCAUCUUUUCCUCUUGCUCAUAGUGAACCGGGUCUUUUCCUCACACUAUCUUGGUCCCUUCAAAGCGGAAAAGACAUUGCUUUCCUACAGAGCGACUUGCUUUCGCAAUCACCAAACCAAUCACAAGUCCAUUUCCAGAACACGCGAUAUCAUUCACUCCUGAGCUGUGACCGACCCCCUACUGCCACCCAUUAGCCUCCAAGACAGCCAAGGACGCAAACAUUAAAGAUACAUCCUUGCGCUGGUACACUGGGAAUUGACAACUUAAGAAUUCAACAACUACCCAUCAUCAAAGUUCUCAUCAUCUCCCAACAACCUUCCUAACUUUCUUCGAGCAAUAAAAACAUAUGCAGGAUAUGAAGCAACCAUCGAUGUCAUCGUGUAAAGUCACUUUCCAAGAAAAUACUCUCAGCUAUAACCUCUGCCAUUGUGAAUAACACAUUCCCUAAUCGAAUGAAACAAAGAGGGUUCGAAAUCACUUGCCCAUAAAGCUAUGCCUCAUUCCUAAUGUCAUUCUACUGGAACGACUCAACCCAAACAUUCAUACAUGGAAUCACAUUUGUUCCAUCACUUGCUCUAAAACUGUGAAGCUGGCAACGAGAGAUUCACCAUGUUCAAACAUGGAGCUACAUUUGUGCUACCACUUUACUUUUAUGCGACAUUCACCAUUACAAACACUAUAUGUCAGGCAACACAUCCAUCAAAUUCCAGAAAAUAGCUCGCAUCUGCGGAUCAGAAAUUUCUGAAUAGACCUUCCAUUUUCGAGAACUUGCUACAGGCAAGACACACAAAAAGUGAAGUGCGAGGAAUAUAACGAAAGUUGCUGGGACACAUGAAAUUCUGAAAAGUAAUAAAAAGAGCGAUCACAUAGUGUUCUUAAUUCUCAUAUUACGAGUUUCAAACACAGCAAUAAUGAAGCCCCUAGAGGAUAGAUAGAGUCACAGACAUCAAGCAGAGACACCAGCUUCUUCCAACAGCUGCUUCACCUUUGUGAUGUAAUCGUUCAUUGCUUCGUCCGCCGAUUUCCCUGCCAACAAGCAAAAAUAUCAAUCUUAGAAAUAGCAAAGUCCAACACAAAUCAUUUAAAAAAAAAAAAAAAGGAAGUUGCAAGAUAAGUGCUACUAUUUUAUGUUUCUACCUUCAACAGCCUUCCAUGCAUCCCACUUCGCCCGAUCCUUCAUGUUGAACAUUCCAGGGCGACCUGCAAGUAACGUGAAACAGGCAUUAGUUAUCUCGGAGAUGGAUUUGGUUGAGCAACAAAGCGUUGAAGCAUGACAAGUUGCAAAUCCAAAACCCAUUAGAUGAGGGUGAGUUACUGACUGGUGUUCACCGGUCCAACCGUGGCUUGCUUGUAAAGCCCAUAGAGGAUGAGCUUGCUCUCAUUGGUUGUACUCUCUGGCAAGGUCUUGGCUUUCUCAGCAUAUUCCUCAAAGUCCUCCUGCAUAAACCAACUAGGUGAUGACGUUAACAAGGAUGACACUAAAAGUACACAUCGACUUCCUCAAAGCUCUAUAAAAGCACAGAAGAAGAGAACAACUGACAAGUCCGCAAAGUUAAUAAAAGAAGUACGAAAACCAACAUGAAUUAAAUAAAGUAAAACGUUUACUAUGCGGUCACCACAAAAAAGAAAAAGAAGAAGAUAAAAAGCGCAUGAUAUUCUGAAGAAGAAUGGUAUUUUAGGCAACACAUGGAACGGAGAUGCCUGUGCACAAAAUAAGUCGCGAAACAGCUUUCCCAUUGAAAUUUAGAGAGUGCAAGGGAAGAUACAAGAGAUCAUUUGCUUCUGAAUGCAAAUCUAAAAAGUGUAAAACGUACAGAUUCAUCACUGGAGGAGCCUGGACUGAUACAUAAGGAUCAUCCCACUCAACCUUAGCAACAGGAUGUACCUUUAAACGUUGCACUUAAAGAAGGCAAUAACUGAAAAGGCCGAUCUGCCCAGUAAAAUUCAAUUCAAUCUCCUCAUUUUCUUUCCUUAGACUUAAGACUACGCCAAUUAUGAAUCUAUCUCUUCAAAGAUACUUCGUUAAAGCACAAAGAGGAUUACUCCCUCUUGCACGCGCAUUAGUAGCUAACUAGUGGAGCCCAUUGAGCAGUUCUGGCAGCAGCUAUUUACAAUCAAACCGACAUAAAGCUACAGAUUCACUCACAUCAAGAAAAGAUCACACUAAUCGCAUGGUGGAUAAAACAGAUACCCACAAGAGCAAAUCCAGGAUAAUGAACCGAAAAAUCCGUAAAGAAACUAAAUUUAAAAAUUGCACAUCAUGGGUUUCUCCGCAAGUCGAAGCAAGGACACGCGAUCUGUUAAAAAACCAAACUUCAGCUCAAUCAAGAACCGAUCUGAUGCACCCAAUAAAGAACAACGCGCGGAGAAAAAAGGGAAAGAAAGAUCCGACCCUUUAUUCAGCUCAGGUAAAUCAAACACCCC